CCUACGGGAGGCUGCAGUGGGGAAUAUUGCACAAUGGGGGAAACUCUGAUGCAGCAACGCCGCGUGAGUGAAGAAGUAUUUCGGUAUGUAAAGCUCUAUCAGCAGGGAAGAGAAUGACGGUACCUGACUAAGAAGCCCCGGCUAACUACGUGCCAGCAGCCGCGGUAAUACGUAGGGGGCGAGCGUUAUCCGGAUUUACUGGGUGUAAAGGGGGCGUAGACGGUUCUGCAAGUCUGAAGUGAAAGCCCGUGGCUUAACCGCGGAACGGCUUUGGAAACUGUGGAACUGGAGUGCUGGAGAGGCAAGCGGAAUUCCUAGUGUAGCGGUGAAAUGCGUAGAUAUUAGGAAGAACACCAGUGGCGAAGGCGGCUUUCUGGACUGAAACUGACGCUGAGGCACGAAAGCGUGGGGAGCGAACAGGAUUAGAUACCCCUGUAGUC
rnacentral:rRNA from 1 species